UAGGAAUAUUGGGCAAUGGAGGAAACUCUGACCCAGCAACGCCGCGUGAAGGAAGAAGGUUUUCGGACUGUAAACUUCUGAUCUAAGGGAAAAAGAAAGUGAUGGUACCUUAGGAGAAAGCCACGGCUAACUAC
rnacentral:rRNA from 1 species